UCAUAGCUCAGUCGGUAGAGCACUUCAUUGGUAAUGAAGAGGUCGGGGGUUCAAAUCCCCCUGUUA
rnacentral:tRNA from 1 species